CUAUUCCUCUGCUUGCUUUGGAGCCUGGAGGACUCAGACUUAGUCAGUGUAGUUCUAAACACGAAGCAGGGUGGGAGUGUUAUAAAAAAAAAAAAGUGCUAACGAAGGAAGACAAUACUUCGGCUGCCCAGCCAGGAGAACGAAACGGUAUGAGUACCUGAAGGCUCCUACACUUCAGUUGGCAGAGCCUUUUGUACCCGUGAUCCACAUUUGUACAGAUCGAGGCCUGAAUUAGAAAUGACACUUUUUUACUGCACCAUGGACGAGCAGGUUCCUUGACAAAAAAUUAAGGCAGUGCCAAAGCUGGAAGUAUGCACGAGAGAUCAGAUUGCGGAGAAAGGUCCCUGUUGACUCAAGAUCCAAUAGGACAAGCUGAGGAGAUGGUGCAGUGAUAUCAAGAGGGACAGGUUAUCAGCUGUUAGAGACAACCCCUUUGUUGUAAUGGACGAGUCCAUUGUUUUCUUCAUGUGGAAGGUUAGUAUUAUGCAAAGGUGCGCUGUUGUCAUUCUUCCAUGGAAUUUUUUUGAGAGCGAGAUUGUAAACCUGCAAACAUAUGUUGUUAGAAUUUUAAAAAUAGUAAAUUAUUGUUGUAAGCAUGUAUACUAUACCUCAGAGUAACAUUUGUAGGAGGGUAUUGUAGGAUGACUUUGGGUGUUUUGGGGUAUAAUGGUUUGGGGAGGUGGGUGGCUUUUUGUUUGAAAUAUUAGAUUGCUCUAGUAUGACAAUUUAAGGUAUAAUUUGGUUUCAACUAUUAAAUUAGACAGAUAACUGUCAAAAUACAGUUAAGUAUUCACGUACUGUAUAUAUAUAUAACGAAAUAUCAGUCUUUUGUGUCUGUAGUAGACUAGGAAUCUUUUAUCAAUUAUCUCUGGGAGUUGCUAAUUGUUAUUCACUGUAUAAGAAUGAAGUUUAUGCAAUCUAAAAAUGAUAUAGAAUUAAUUUUUGAUGCUAAUAAGAUUACAAAACCUUUGGAAAUUUUUUGGAAGAAUUUAAUUCAUUAUAUUAAUGUUGUUUAUAUUUAGUAAAAAAAUCAUUCACUGGUCCUUUUGUGGCCUUUAAUUUUGAAUCGUAUUUGUCCUGUGAUAACAUGUUUUGGAAGUUAGUUGCCUUUUAGGCCUGUUCCAUAGAAAUUAUAUUUUGGUCAAGUGUCA